AAUUUUGUUAGAUAUAAAAUUUUAACUUAGUCCAGUUUUAUUUGCUAUAGGGUAAUUAAUACUAUUAAAUUUGACAAAAGUCAAAAUUAUUUUGGUUAAACUUCAAGAAAGCUACAGUACAUAGAGAGUGUCGAUCCUUCCCAAAAAUUAAGUCCAUGGGGACUAUUUCAGAACGACCUAGAGUUAUGAGGGUUUCCACACAUAUUUACCCAGCCAAAAAUUUUUAGAAAAAUAAAAUUCGUGGUCUGGAUUUUUUUUUUUUUUUUUUUUUUUUUGAGAUAAGAUAGGAACCUAUCCACUUCUUUCAUUUCAUUUUUUAGAUUACGUCACUUAUUAACGGUGGUUUAACAGAUGCAUGUACAAGAAUGUCUCCACCCUAUAACAACAUGCAUGCUCUUAUUUAAAAACUAAUAAUCUAAAGCACAUACACCCCAUCCCAUAUAAUCUUAUAGUAAGGAAAUGUGCAUAAAUAAAUAAUAUCUUCGUAGGUAAAUGCUCAAAAUACCAACAUUACAAAUAGACAUGCUUUUUAGAGUUGAGUUUCAUAAUUUUUUAGUAUUAUUGUUUAACAUUGAAUGUAUUUGCAAAUUAGUAAUUUGUAACGGCUAGAAUAAAUUUGAGACCACUUGAUAAUUAAGAAAAUAAUAUCACGAAUCUUAAAAUUUACGGCCAAAUUAUAUUUAAUGAUGUUGACCAUCAUAAAGUUUUUAUUUAGGGUUAGAGAGAGAAAGGGAAGAGGGAGCUCUGGGGACAGAAUGGAUUUAACGCAUAAAGCUGCCAGGGGAAGAGAGAGAGAGAGAGAGAGAGAGAGAGAGAGAGAGAGAGAGAGAGAGAGUGUGUGUGUGGGUGGGGUCUGUGACCUUGAGUUGUCACUGUUGGGUACAUCUCCUUCCUCUGAAAGAAUGACUGAAGAGGGAAAAGAGUUGUCUGCUGCGCUGCCGGCCGGGCAGACAGAUAUUAGUGCUUCGACGGUUCGACCGCCUUCCAUAAAUCCCAAAUGUGAACAAAUUAGUAAAAGAAACUAAAAAUAUAAAAAACCAAAUAUACUAAUAAUAGUAACUAAACUUACGCAUUUUAAGCCGGUGAUUUAGAUCCAACAAAUUAUUAAUACUAGCGGAUCGGGUCGUAAUAGUUAGUAUCUGAGUCAAAUAUCAUCAGAAGUCGAGUUAGUUAGUGAGUUUGGUCAUUAUAGUUAGUAUUAGAGUCGAAUAUAAACCGAAAGUAUGAAAGCUGGGGACAAAGUGAUGCACCUAUGAGUUUGGUGGAGCCACUUUUUGAUUCAACAGGUCGUCUAGUAAGGAAGUCUUUAAUGUCAUAAUAGUCCCACAUCUAAUAAUAAUAACCGAGCUUAAAUAUUUUGAGCCAGUAGUUUAGGUACAAUAAAUUAUUAUUUCUAACGGGUUGGGUCAUUCUAUAUACUAUUUUUAAGUAGUUUGCACAUUUUACAGAUACUAAAUAGUUGCAAAAAAAAUAAACAAUACUACAAAUAAUGCAUUAUUGGCUAAAUUACACUUUUGAUCCUCAAACUAUAAAGCACGUGACACUUUGAUUUUCAAACUUUAAUUCGUACUAAUUUUAGCUUGAGUUUAAUAAAUUAUUAGAAUCAAUCUUGCAACCCAAUUUAGUUGACUAAAUUCUAACGUCGCUAAUAUAGAAGUAAUAUGACAGUAUUAUGAUUGAUGACACAGCAGUGAUUAAGAUACAACACUGCUUUCACAUUACUAAUAUGUGAAUAUUUAGUCAAUUAAAUUAGGGUUAUUUGCAUACACGUCCCUCCAAACAUAGUAAAUUGCGGAUAUAUCCCUGCAAAUUGGAAACUCCAUAAGUUAUCCCUGCAAAAGUCCUAAGUUAUACAGAUAUGUCCCUACCGUCCAGAUCUGUUAGAAAAUUUUCGUUAACCACGGUUAAAAUACUUAACCAUGGUUAAUUAUAGUGUGAAUUGACGUAUUUAUCCUUCUUCCUCUUCCUCCUCUUCCUCUUCCUCUUCCUCCAACUUCUACUUCGUCGCCGGCGAGGAGAUAUGGCGGCGACGGUGGCGAACCCUCUUCCUUUUCCUCUUCCCUCUUCCUCUUCUCCCUUUUUCUCCCUUCUUUUUUCUUCCUUCUUCCUUUUUCCUCUUUCCUCUUCUUCGUCACCGGCGAGGGAGAAGAAUCUCGUUGGGGUCGGUCUCGGAGGAAAGGCGGGCGAGUUUCUAGACGAGAAGCUCGAGGGCGUUGUUGGCGACGAGGGCGUGUGCGAGGUCGUCGUGGUCACCGAGGACGUCGGUGUCGGUGAGGUCGGUGAGGAGGGAGAUGACGUCGUCGGCGAUGUCGUGGCCGAGGAGGCCGACGAGGGAGGGGGCGACGUUGAGGGCGACGAGCUCCGGGUAGAGCUCCGGUGCUCGGCGUUCUUGCCUCUUCUUCGUCGCCGGCGAACCUGACCCCGCGCCGCCGCCGCCGUCGUCUGCUUCGACGGUCCGAAAAGGAAAAGAAAGAGAAGGGGAAGAGGAAAACUUUUGGAGGGAUAUAUUUGUGAGGGUAAAAUGGUCAUUUCACGACUUCGCUGUUAAAAAACAAACAGCUCACUAACAGAUGUUAACUGCAGGGACAUAUCUGCAUAACUUGGGACUUUUGUAGGGACAACUUAUGGAGUUUCGAUUUUGCAGGAAUAUAUCCGCAAUUGGCUAUGUUUGCAGGGAGCUGUAUGCAUUUGACCCAUUAAAUUAAGUUGUAGGACUUGAUUAUAAUAAUUUAAAAAGUUUGGACAAAAAUUUACUAUAAAUUAAAGUAUGAAAACCACAUGUCAUGUGCCUCAUACUUUGAGGAACAAAGUAAUUAGCCUUUUUUAUUCAUUGCAUGACAUUAAGUUUCCAGAACGACUUUCAUACCAAUUGUUAAAAGAGUUUCGACCCAACAAUCCUGUGCUACAUCUGCUUUGUUAGAUAUGCCUGGAAAUUUUUUUCAACUUUGAUUUUAUGUUUCUGAUUCGUUGACAGCUUCGCAGUGCGACAAAUUUUUAAAAAAAAUUAUGAAGAAAAAAAUAGAUGCCUGUAAUUCCACAACAUUGUACUCUCUUUUUCAUGAUAAAGUAUUUUCCCUUUUCGCUCGUGGGUUUUUUUUUUCACGUGGAAAAUUUUUUUCUACAUAAAUCAUAGUGUUUCAUUUUACAUUACAAUUUUUUAUGAGUUGUCUAUUUUGCGAUCAUCGUUUUGUAUUUUUAUUUGUGCGCUUGUCGUAACAUGCUCAAAGAUCUGACAUAUCCAGUGAUAUUCAUCCAGCCUAAAUAGUUAAGCCUACUGAGCGAGAGCUCGUUAGCAUAUAUCAGUUCUUUACUCUCUUCAGGACAAUUUCGAUGCGAAUUUCAUAUUAAAGGAAUUAAAAUUUAAACCCGGUCUAUUGAAGACGGUCUAUGCAACAAUUUCGUCCAGUCUGCAGCAGCCACUGCCCCUGCUGCUGCUGCUGCUGCUGUUGUUUUACUUGUGAAAGGAAAUGCUGCUUUUAAUUGCCCACAUAAAUGCCUGCCAGUUUGAGCAAUCGAUUUCCCUCCAAAAUUAGAAGUAAUGAUGGAGGAGGGACAGAGAGUAUCUUUCUGCAUGCUGACAAGUUCGGAUUUUGAGUUUUUGGGUUAUGCUAAUAAGCUUUCAGCUGCUGCAUUGAAUAGAUAGAGAGGUGUUGGUGGUGUCAGUAGUUUAGUCAGUGGAGUGCACUAAAUUAAGGCUUAGUUUUGGGGUUCUUAAUUUAGAGCUUAAAAAAAAUUAAAAAAUCUUAUUAGAUGCUAUAAUUUGAUACUGAAAUAAAAGAUGAACAAUAGAGAAUGAACCGUUAUAAUUUUUCCUUUUUUUUUAUUAAAUAAUAUGAAGCAAUUGUUGUUUCUUUGAAAAUUUAAGCUAUCAGAGAAGGUGUUUGGACUCGAGGCAUUUUGAUAUGUCCAAGAUCUAGACUCGAACUAAAUGGAGAAAAUUAAUUAUGUUAGGGAUUUAGUAGGAUUUAAAUUAAAAACUCUCUACUCUGAUACCAAGUUAAAUAAUACAACAUAACCGUUGUCCUCUAAAAAUUUAGGCUACCAGAGAGUGGUGCAUUUUAAUAUUUAUAUUAAAUAUUAAAUAUUCUUGGUAUAUUUUUAUUACUUAUCUUUCACUUUAGUCUAAGUCAGAUACACAGAGUACUCUCUAUUCUGUGAUUUAUAUACAAUUUUCAUAAUAUAUUUCUAUUGUUCAAAUCAUGCUUGUUAGCAUUACUCGGAUGAUUAGUGUGAUUCAUGCAAUUUUAAUUAUUUUAUAUUUUUAACUGAGUUUAUUUCUAAAAAAUAUAAAAAAAAAAAACAAAAAAAGCAUAUUACCUUUCCUUAGAAAAAAAAGGAAAAGUUGGAGUUGGUAAGAGUAGGGAUGAAAAUGAUUGGAUUUUUAACAAAAUUAUAUUCGCAUUUAUAUGUUUCUUUGAAUGCAAAUUCGAAGGUGGAUAUGUGUCAAAUGCCAAAUUGCGAUUACUAUAUUCCCUAAAAAUAGAUUCAAUUUCAUAUAUGAGUCGUAUGUAUAUUCUGAUAUUCUUUGAAUAAUAUAUACUAAUAUUUAUUUAUAUAUAAACUAAAAUUAGCGCGAAUAAGAAACACAAUUCAGUUAAAAGUUCAUACUCAUGUUCAAACCUUGUAUACAUAUAUUUUAUUCAACAAAAUUUGAUAUUUUAACUAACAUAAACAUAAUUUUAAUAUAAAAUUCAUAGUAAAAUAAACAACGAACAUGAGUAUGAACUUUUAACUGAAUUGUGUUUCUUAUUCGCGCUAAUUUUAGUUUAUAUAUAAAUNUUGUAUACAUAUAUUUUAUUCAACAAAAUUUGAUAUUUUAACUAACAUAAACAUAAUUUUAAUAUAAAAUUCAUAGUAAAAUAAACAACGAACAUAAUGGAAAAAUCACUUUAUUCUCCUACAACAUAUAUUAACAUCUCUCUUAUCCAAGAUAAAAACAGUGAAAUAAGGUUGGAUUUUUUAAGAAACAAUAUUUGCAUCCAUAAUUUUUUUUUUUUUUGGGUGCGAUUUCGGAUACGAAUAUACGUCAAAUACUAAAUUUUGACAUCCAUGUUCGUAUCCUAUUGAAUAAAGAGUCGAAUUCGAUUCAAGUUUAUCGUAACCACUUUUACCCCUAGGUAAGAGACCACACAGAAUGGAAAUAAGUUCACCAAAACAACCAUUAUUUUAAGUUUUUUUUUAAUACUAUAUUAGAAUAAGUAACUUUUAAGUUUAAAUUCUGUCAGACUUUUAUGCGUAUAAAAAAGAAAUUAUGUUAAAUAUAAAAAUGUUUAAACAACGUUUUCUAACGGCUUAAGUUUUUAGAGUACAACGGUUGUUUCAUAUGGUAUCAGAGCAGGAGGUCCUAAGUUCGAGUCACGCCAGGCUCCUAACAUAUUAAUUUCCUCCCAUUUAAUUCAAGCCCACAUCAUGUUUCGAUUAAAAAGUCUCGAGCCAAGACGUGAGGGAGAGUGUUAAAUUUUAAGCUUUUAGAGUACAACGAUUGUUUCACAAGUUAGGUUUUGUCAGAGAAGAGAGAUUUUUUUUUUUUUU
rnacentral:lncRNA from 1 species